rnacentral:tRNA from 1 species
GUUCGUAGGCUCCUAUUAUUAGGGAGGCUGGAUUGUGAUUCCAGUUGCUGUAGAUUCGAAUUCCACUACGCACCCCA